rnacentral:rRNA from 1 species
UUUUUAUGAGAGUUUGAUCCUGGCUCAGGACGAACGCUGGCGGCGUGCCUAAUACAUGCAAGUCGUACGCUUCUUUU